rnacentral:rRNA from 1 species
AGCGAACGCUGGCGGCAGGCCUAACACAUGAAAGUCGAACGCCCAGAAAUGGGAGUGGCAGACGGGUGAGGAACACGUGGGAACGUGCCUUUUGGUUCGGAAUAACUCAGGGAAACUUGUGCUAAUACCGGAUAAGCCCUUCGGGGGAAAGAUUUAUCGCCAAAAGAUCGGCCGGCGUCUGAGUAGCUAGUUGGUGAGGUAAAGGCUCACCAAGGCGACGAUCAGUAGCUGGUCUGAGAGGAUGAUCAGCCACACUGGGACUGAGACACGGCCCAGACUCCUACGGGAGGCAGCAGUGGGGAAUAUUGGACAAUGGGGGCAACCCUGAUCCAGCCAUGCCGCGUGAGUGAUGAAGGUCUUCGGAUUGUAAAGCUCUUUUGGCGGGGAUGAUAAUGACGGUACCCGCAGAAUAAGCCCCGGCUAACUUCGUGCCAGCCGCCGCCGUAA